AUUGGAACGCUGGCGGAAUGCUUUACACAUGCAAGUCGAGCGGCAGCACGGGGGCGAACCCUGGUGGCGAGCGGCGAACGGGUGAGUAACACAUCGGAACGUACCCUGUCGUGGGGGAGUAACGAGUCGAAAGAUUCGCUAAUACCGCAUACGACCCGAGGGUGAAAGCGGGGAACGCAAGACCUCGCGCGACUGGAGCGGCCGAUGGCGGAUUAGCUAGUUGGUGGGGUAAAAGGCCCACCAAGGCGACGAUCCGUAGCGGGUCGUGAGAGGACGGCCCGCCACACUGGGACGUGAGACACGGCCCACGACUCCUACGGAGGCAGCAGUGGGGGAAGUUUUGGUACAAUGGGGGGCGAACCCCUCGAUCCAGCCAUUCCGCGUGAGUGAAGAAGGCCUC
rnacentral:rRNA from 1 species